rnacentral:rRNA from 1 species
GACGAACGCUGGCGGCGUGCUUAACACAUGCAAGUCGAACGGAAAGUCCCUGCUGUUGUGGGGUGCUCGAGUGGCGAACGGGUGAGUAACCCGUGAGUAACCUGCCCUUGACUUUGGGAUAACUUCAGGAAACUGGGGCUAAUACCGGAUCGGAGCUCCUGCUGCAUUGUGUGGGUUGGAAAGUUUCGGCGGUUGGGGCUGGAUUCGCUGGUUAUCAGCUUGUUGGUGGGUGAGUGGCUUACGAAGGCUGUGACGGGUAGCCGGCAUGAGCGGGUGAACGGGCACAUUAGGACUGAGGGACGGCGCAGAAUCGUACGGGCGGCAACAGUGGGGAGUAUGACACAACAGGGGGACGUGAGAUGAAGCAGCGCCGCGUGCGGGAUGACGGCCUGCGGGUUAUAAACAGCUACCGCAUGUGACGAAGCGUGAGUGACGGUAACGGGUAAAGAAGCACCGGCUAACUACGUG